rnacentral:tRNA from 1 species
GGUCUCGUAGCUCAGAUGGUAGAUCAUGCGCGUAGAAAGCGUAGGCGGCGUCCAUGCGUGGGUUCGAAUCCCAAAGAGACUA